rnacentral:rRNA from 1 species
UACGGAGGGUGCAAGCGUUAUCCGGAUUUAUUGGGUUUAAAGGGUCCGUAGGCGGACCUGUAAGUCAGUGGUGAAAUCUCAUAGCUUAACUAUGAAACUGCCAUUGAUACUGCAGGUCUUGAGUAAAUUUGAAGUGGCUGGAAUAAGUAGUGUAGCGGUGAAAUGCAUAGAUAUUACUUAGAACACCAAUUGCGAAGGCAGGUCACUAAGAUUUAACUGACGCUGAUGGACGAAAGCGUGGGUAGCGAAC